UGGCGUAGGAUGUAAGGAGUAAAUUUUGUAGGACUUUGAGGUAUGGAAGUAAGGGUUGAAUAAGGUUGGGAUUGAGUUUUGUAGGACUUGAGUGAGGUGGAGAAGGAUGUAAAAUAGGAUGAGUAAGAUGUAAGCAAGGAUUUGAUCUCGCAGGACUUUUUUGUAGGAUGAGGGGGGCAGGGAAGGAUGCUUGUAAGGUAGGAUUGAAGUAGAAUGUAAGGAUUUGAUCUCUCAGGACUUUUUUGUAGGAUGAGUGAGGCAGGGAAGGAUGCUUGUAAGGUAGGAUUGAAGUAGGAUGUAAGGAUUUAAUCUCACAGGACUUUUUUGUAGGAUGAGCGAGGCAGGGAAGGAUGCUUGUAAGGUAGGAUUGAAGUAGGAUGUUAGGAUUUAAUCUCACAGGACUUUUUUGCAGGAUGAGCGAGGCAGGGAAGGAUGCUUGUAAGGUAGGAUUGAAGUAGGAUGUAAGGAUUUGAUCUUGCAGGACUUUGUGUGGUAGAGAAAGAUGCUUGUAAGGGUAACCAUAUCCUCUGUUUGUUAGGGUGAUGGGGGCGGUCUGUUAGCUUACCCAAAAAAUACCCUUCCCUUUAACAACAUUUCCUAUAUAGUCAAGGCAAAGGUCCAUUAGCUCUCCUGCUGCCCAUGUCCUUUCCCGUAACCAUAUUUUCCAUCCAUUAAGGUUACAGCAGAGGUUCGCUAGCUAUCCUGCCUUCCAUAUCCUUUACUUUAACCAUAUUUCCCAUCCAUCAAGGUUACGGCAGAGGUUCGCUAGCUAUCCUGCCUUCCAUAUCCUUCCCUUAACCAUAUUUCCCAUCCAUUAAGGUUACGGCAGAGGUCCGCUAGCUAUCCUGCCUUCCAUAUCCUUCCCUUUAACCAUAUUUCCCAUCCAUUAAGGUUACGGCAGAGGUCCGCUAGCUAUCCUGCCUUCCAUAUCCUUCCCUUUAACCAUAUUUUCCAUCCAUUAAGGUUACAGCAGAGGUCCGCUAGCUAUCCUGCCUUCCAUAUCCCUCCCUUUAACCAUAUUUCCCAUCCAUUAAGGUUACGGCAGAGGUCCACUAGCUAUCCUGCCUUCCAUAUCCUUCCCUAUACCCAUAUUUCCCAUUCAUUAAAGUUACGGCAGAGCUUCCUUACCUCCUACAUCCCUUCCUUUCAUCAUAGUAUUUUCUAAUC